UACGUAGGGUGCAAGCGUUGUCCGGAAUUAUUGGGCGUAAAGAGCUCGUAGGCGGCCUGUCGCGUCGGCUGUGAAAACCCGGGGCUCAACCCCGGGCCUGCAGUCGAUACGGGCAGGCUAGAGUCCGGCAGGGGAGACUGGAAUUCCUGGUGUAGCGGUGAAAUGCGCAGAUAUCAGGAGGAACACCAGCGGCGAAGGCGGCGCUCUGGGCCGGUACUGACGCUGAGGAGCGAAAGCGUGGGUAGCAAACAGG
rnacentral:rRNA from 1 species